ensembl:lncRNA
CAGAGGGCGCCGAACCUGGUUUGGGUUUUGCUAAUUAGCUCACCUGUCGCAGCUCGCGCGCUAUGGGCACGCUAAUUAGUUAAUUUGUUGCGUCUGGUUGGGUUCUGCUCACAUGGAACCGGACAGCACGUUGUUGUCCACCACUGUUUGGCAGCGUUAUGUCUCCCAGACAAGGUUACAAAGACUUUUUGAAGUAAAACGGAGCAUUUCAUAUGGAGCUGAUUUCUAUCCUGGAGAUGAAACUCCAGUUCUGUGAGUAUCCCAAUUGAAUCAUGAAGAAGAAACUGCGAACUGUAAGUCAUUGGUUUCCUUAUUAUUAUUGGGCACUGCAAUGUAUUUUGGGUUAACCUGUUUAGUGAACAUUGCUUUGAGUAGUGUGGAUGUUUUAUUGGUGCAUGAGCUACUUAAGCAUUUGAGUUGGUACUAAUGGUUUCAAGUACAGGUUAGAAGUGUUGUAAAGCGUAAUAGAGAAUUCUGUGGGUACAACCAAAACAUACUUCAGGGUUGGUUGCUGAUUUCUUUAGUCUUCUUUCCUGCUACUCUCCUGAGCUCUUCAUCUUCAUCACAUGAGUGUCGCUUUACCGAUAAGGGCGUAUCUGAGUGAGCAGAGGUGCAUGAUGGGAUACAGGUCUGUCUGAAGUCUACUGGUCUGUAGACACGACCACUCAGGAGAAACCAAGGGUUUGAGAAUCCGUUUUGAUGUGCGUUUCAUGGACUAGAAUAUCCUUUAAGAUGGGGACAGGGAUUCCCAAAGGAGAAACACUUUGGGGAGAUGUGAGUGCUCCUCAUCUCAACGACUGGAACACUACUUCGUUCUUGCACCAGAGAACCAUAGAGCUCAUUUCAACAUUCUCCUCCAUGUAUUGUGAAGCCUCAGCGACUCUUUCUCUACCUCCACAGCUGUCAGAGCACAACUCCAGUUCAGAAAUGGUCACAGUUGGGGGCCAUUCCAAGAUGGUUUCUCAUUUCACCAGAGCCAUCUUCCAGGUCCAGCUGGCCUUCCAUCUUGAGGGUUGGAGUGUACAAAACACUGUACACAGAAAGCUUCUAUUUGGUCCAGUCCAGUCAGCCUACUGAGGAUGGAGAUAUUCUACAAGAGUGUUUGACAUUGUAUUGCUCUGUGGCAUCCGGGUUUGACAUGAGAUGGAAAUGGUUCAUUUGUCAGCAUGACAAGGGUUCGCUCUGGUAUUGGAGUUCUGCAUAAGUGUGUGACCUGGGUUCUACAUGUGUCCUGGGUUCGCUCUGGUGUUGGCGUUCUCCUGGGUUUGCUCUGGUAUUGGAGUUCUACGUUUGUCCUUGAUUCGAUCUGGUAUUGGAGUUCUACGUUUGUCCUUGAUUCGAUCUGGUAUUGGAGUUCAACGUUUGUGUCCUUGGUUCGAUCUGGUAUUGGAGUUCAACGUGCGUGUCCUUGGUUCGAUCUGGUAUUGGAGUUCAACGUGCGUGUCCUUGGUUCGAUCUGGUAUUGGAGUUCAACGUGCGUGUCCUUGGUUCGAUCUGGUAUUGGAGUUCUACAUGCGUGUCCUUGGUUCGAUCUGGUAUUGGAGUUCAACGUGCGUGUCCUUGGUUCGAUCUGGUAUUGGAGUUCUACAUGCGUGUCCUUGGUUCGAUCUGGUAUUGGAGUUCAACGUGCGUGUCCUUGGUUCGAUCUGGUAUUGGAGUUCAACGUGCGUGUCCGUGGUUCGAUCUGGUAUUGGAGUUCAACGUGCGUGUCCUUGGUUCGAUCUGGUAUUGGAGUUCAACGUGCGUGUCCUUGGUUCGAUCUGGUAUUGGAGUUCAACGCGUGUGUCCAGGGUACGACCUGGCAUGGGAUUCUACAUGUGUCCUGGGUUCAACCUGGUGUCCGUCCAUCUGAGUGACAUGGGGUAUUGGAACCGUCAACCUAAUCGAAAUGGAUGGAUGAGCACCUGGUUUGCUUAAGGACUUGGCCGACGUGAAGAGCCUGGAACGAUGCUCCGCAAUGAUAUCCCAACACACUGGACAGGAAGACGGGAGUUGGAUUGGAAUCAAGUGUAAAGAAAGGAUGCGAAAGGCUGGUUUGGAUCACUGACUACAAAUUAGAACUACACCAAUAAGGAACAAUGGAGGAAAUAUACCAAAUGGAUUCCACAAGAAGAGUCUGAAGUUGGAAAUCGACCUAAAUGGAUAUUCCAGAUGACCUUCAGAGCUGUAGUGAGGUGCCUCUUCCUACCUGCUGGAUGGCCGGCAAGCCCUGUGGACCGUGUCUUGUGUCGUAUUGCUUUCAGAUGCACAUCUUCUCUGACUGAAAUAUAUUUUGUUUCCUGGCUAGGUGAACCUGGGAGAUGGGUUGUGUGAAUCUGAAACGAUCUUUGAACUAUCCUAACUCGGGUCUGCCUCAAGCUGUAGUUGUGCUCUUCAGCUGAGGAUGUUUGGAAACCUUCAGUGGGGCUUCAAGAUGUAUAGAGGGGAACGUUGCAGUGGGUUCCAUGGUUCUCUGAUGGAGAACCUUAGUUGUAUUCUACUGGCUGAGAGGAAAAACACACGCAUCUUUCUCUUGGCGUUUCUUCCUUUUAGAAUCCCUGUCGCCAUCUUGAAGGAUAUUCCACUUUAUGUAACUGAUGUCCUUGCGGCUUCGCAAACUUUGGUUUCUCCAGUGGGGCGUGUCUACAGAAUUGUAUACUUCAGACGGCAUUGUAUCCUAGAAUGAAUCUCUGCUUACUCAAACCACACCUCCAUUAGUAGGGCAACACUAUAGCGAUGGAGGUGCAUAGUCUUUGAGUAACUGGGGAGCAGAUAACGGGGAUUAGAAAACAAUGUCAUGUUAAGUCUGUAGAUCUUAAAAUCAUGAUUGUUAAAUGGGAGUUCAGGAGUUGAUUUAAUUAUGUGCAGUCCCUUAUCUCAAAUGCACACGUCUCACUUAACCUCAGAUUUCUUCGAAAUGAUUCGCAAUUGUUGAUGCGGUUAGUUCAGGGUAUCGUUUGCAGGGUUGUGGAUGGCUCUCUGAGCUAGACAUUUUGGUUGUAUCUGUAGGGUUUGUACCCAGAAUUAUCAAGAUAAGAUAAGAUGUUGUAUGGUCAAAUGUAGUCAGUUUUGCAUUAACGGAUUUCCUCGUUUUUAAGCAAGCCUUUGAGGGUUAAAUGUGUUGUGGGACAUACAAGGUAGUUCUGUGUGCUUCGUAUUGUUUUUAGUGUUAUAACUUGUACACACUGGGUGCUUAGCAAUUUAGAGGUAACACUGAAUAGUAGUUAUAACCAACAGCAACAAACAGAUCGCCUUAAGGUAAGUCUGUUGGCUGCAUUUAUGUGAGAAGAUCAUCGCUGGACUUCAGGAUCGUCCUCCGCUCAGCUCAAGGUGAGGCGCUGGUUACGUUCCUUACUGCUGGGUUGGUUCCGGCUGGAAUGUUCGGAUUCCAGUCGGACGGGUUUCCUUCCCGCCGGGAAGGUUCUGAGUGUAGUCCGUUAAUUUAGUUUCAAAAUGGUUGGCAUUGAACAUUGUAGUAUUGAAAACCUUAAGAACACACUUGGCGGUUAGUUGGAUUGAUUUAAGUCACCUGAAAGGGCAUCUGGCAGUAUGUUAAGGAUUGACGUUUGCAUUACCUCGUCACCAUUGGAAAAAAACAAUUCAAUUUCUGACCAAUCUUAAGAGACUUUAGAUUUCCCGUUCAAAAUACAUACUGGCGUCUAUGUUUUUCAUUUCUCAAAUUCUACCAAUUUUUUUCAAUAAUUGCGCUCCACGUUGACGGACUCUCGCUGCGUACAAAUCUGCGUCGUACUUGCGGGCGCAUUUCUAACCGUCAAUGAAGAUUUCAUCACUUUUAGGCACUUUAUGGCAUGGCUUCCAUAUAACCCAGCACCUUAAUAUGGUUAAGUAUAAUUUUACUAUUGAAUUUUUAAUAUUGAUACUGCUUAGUGUUCUUUGAUACUUUAACAGCUUUGGUACAUUCUAAAUAUCUGGUCCAUUAAUUGUCACAGAAGUUAAACCCUACCAAAUCGCAUGACGUUAGAUUAUUACCCUUUUGUGAUGGGUUAUGAACUGGAUAGUAUCCAACCGCUAAAAUAAUGGCUGUGUCCCACAUGUUGCAGUAGGAGAACUUUAUAACCGUACACGGUAAAUGGUAACGUGUAGUUUGUCUCACGGUGUCUGCCUCCUCCCCAGAGCCGUACCUUCACCCUGUCGGAGUCCUCCACAGAAGGUCAGAGCUCCGCUGCAGGAGGGUCAUGUAUGUUCAGGGGCCUCUGGAUGCGGCAACGGGGUAGACGGUGGCGGACUGGACCCCCCGGAGGCCGACCGGACCCCGGAGGCCGACCGGACCCCCGGAGGCCGACCGGACCCCCCGACUGGAGGCCGACCGGACCCCGCCGACUGGAGGCCGACCGGACCCGCCGACUGGAGACCGGACCCCCCACGGAGGCCGACUGGAGCCCCCGGACUGGACCCCCGGAGGCCGACUGGACCCUCGGAGGCCGACUGGACCCCCGGAGGCGUGGACCAGAGGCUGAGGCUGGAAGGACCAGGAUGGACCAGGAACCAAAGCUGGAGACCAGAGAAAUGCCACACGGGAUCGGACCAGAGGGAACCUCAGAUGCAGAAGGUGUGGAGUGUGGCAGCUACACCUGGGAUUCCUGGCUGACGGAGGAGUCGUGCUGGAGGAGGUCCUGCCUGGUGGAGGCGGUCCAUCGUGGGGCAGAUGGAGCCUGACUCUAACGCCAGGACUCUGUGGUGUGGAGGAGCUGGGACUCCUGAGGACAGCCAGAACUCCACCAACAAGGAUUCCUCGACAUGAGCUGGACCAGAGGACAGCUGGUGGGGAGCCGUAGAUCUGGAGGAAGACCAUGACUCUACCAGCAAGUAUUCCAUACCAGGACUCCGUGGCUGAGGAGCUGUGUGUGGUCCGACCGGACCCCCCGGAGGCGGACUGGAGCCCCCCCCGGAGGCGGACUGGAGCCCCCCCCGGAGGCCGACUGGAGCCCCCCCCGGAGGCCGACUGGAGCCCCGGAGGCCGACUGGACCCCCGGAGGCGUGGACCAGAGGCUGAGGCUGGAAGGAUCAGGUUGGACCAGGAACCGAAGCUGGAGACCAGAGAAAUGCCACACGGGAUCGGACCAGAGGGAACCUCAGAUGCAGAAGGUGUGGAGUGUGGCAGCUACACCUGGGAUUCCUGGCUGACGGAGUCGUCGUGCUGGAGGAGGUCCUGCCUGGUGGAGGCGGUCCAUCGUGGGGCAGAUGGAGCCUGACUCUAGCGCCAGUACUCUGUGGCGUGGAGGAGCUGGGACUCCUGAGGACAGCCAGAACUCCACCAACAAGGAUUCCUCGACAUGAGCUGGACCAGAGGACAGCUGGUGGGGAGCCGUAGAUCUGGAGGAAGACCAUGACUCUACCAGCAAGUAUUCCAUGUAGGAAUUACAUAACAGGGUGGCCUUAAAGGGCAAACUACUGCUGUUACUAGAAGUUAUGCCAAACGACAUGUUUAAUCAAAUGUUGUAGCCAGACCUCCGCCGUGUUUGUUACAGACCAGGACUCCGUGGCUGAGGAGCUGUGAGUCUGGAGGAAGACCAGGACUGUCUACAGGUAGUCCUAGUCAGUUUGCAUAAAGUCAAUGUAGAACUUGUACAGGACAAACGCUUCAUUGCAAGUUAAGAAAUGCUAAUGUGAUUGGUUACUAGACAAACUAAAGCUGCUACUUUGUUUCAUGCCAUUAGAGCCAAAACUGUUUGUUACCAGGCCAGUCAAACUAUCACUGUUACUUUGUACAAGACUUUAGAGCCAAACUACUACUGUGUUUGGUUAACUUACAUUAGUGCCCAACUAGGUCUGUAACCAGACCGGGAAUCUGGACAACUGAUGGAGAAGCCAUACCUCUGACCAGGACUCCGUGGCAGAAGAGAGCUGAUGGAGGAGCUCUGACUCCGGAGAUCGACCAUGACUCUACUAGCAAGUAGUCCUUGACGCUGGUGAAAUCCGGUUUGGUCCAGGACCCACACCUGAUCUGAACCCAACCUGAUCCUGUUUGUUCCUCUCCCCUCAUCCUCAAGAAGAACUUCUGAGCUUCAGCAGUCUGAGGCUGAUGGAUCAAUUAACUCCAGUCUGAAUAACCUUGACCCCACAUGUACCCGUGUACUUCCACACUCCUUUCCCUCAUGUCUGUCACUAACUAACCUCACUACUUCACUGUCCUCUCUACUCCCUUCCGUUCCUCUUGCUUCUCCAUGGUUCGAACCAGCACUCUGAAGGAGUGUCUUCUUGCCCUCAGAGGGUUCAGUGUUAGGGUUGAGAGUCAGGGUUUAGAGUCAGGGACAGAGCUGGUUAGGGAGGAAGGGUUUUUGCACAUGCCUCUUCACUUGCUUGCUGAAUUGUUUUGACAUUUUGAAAUGAUUCAUUGGGAAAAUAUUUUACUGUGCUAUUACUGACAAAUAAAUAUUGUUGUACCAAAUGUCUUUUAUAAAUGUAAAUCCUACAUUGUGACUUAAGAUAUUUGAUUCUGUAAUUUGCCUUGGCUAUUGUCAAGCUAAACAUUUUAAUACAUUGCAUAUAUUUCAUGCAUAUUAUUCACAUAAUAGUUAAUAUAUGAUACAACUUCCAUAUAAACUACACAAUUCCAGUAUUCAUUUAGGUACCGACCGACCCACACAGGCCAUUAAUCUACCACCGUAACCAUUCCAGUAUCAAACCAAUACAGGAUAACUAGGACAUUGGAGAACGAGGUUUCACAAGAACAGCACCAAUAAUGUGUCAUGGCGACCUCAUUUUGGGCAAAAUCAUUUCUACAGGCCUGCGUCCACGUUACCUGACAGAAGGUUCUGUCUGAAGGGUUAAAAAGAUGGCUGACAUUCUAAGUUGAAAAUCCAAUAUUCUGAAUAAAAAUGUAGCUCAUUGCUCCACCUGUUUGAAA